rnacentral:rRNA from 1 species
UAACCUGCCCAAGAGAUCGGGAUAACACCUGGAAACAGAUGCUAAUACCGGAUAACAACAGAUGAUGCCUAUCAACUGUUUAAAAGAUGGUUAUGCUAUCACUCUUGGAUGGACCUGCGGUGCAUUAGCUAGUUGGUAGGGUAACGGCCUACCAAGGCGAUGAUGCAUAGCCGAGUUGAGAGACUGAUCGGCCACAUUGGGACUGAGACACGGCCCAAACUCCUACGGGAGGCAGCAGCA